UAUCUUGCAGGCAAAUAACGUCGAGUUGCUUGCAAUUGGUUCAAGAUAUGAGUGAGAGACGUCGGAUAUUGGUGUUUGCUUAUUAAUGGAAUUGUUUGAAUUACGCAGCAUAAAGAAGAACAAUAAUGAGUUAAUUGUGGACAUAAUCAAGAGAGGUCUUGUUUUGGAUCACAGCAAAUCACAAUGUGAGGAGAACUUCAUACCAGACAAAAAAGGUGAAAUCAUAAUAAUGUUCAUCAAAAUGGAAGAAUCAAAAGACUUUGUAAUGUGGCUGCAAGUAGGUUCAGACAUGCUGUGCUGUUGGUAGAGAGAGCUAACCCUCCUCUCUCUUUCUUCUGCCACCAAACACGUCCUCCUCUUCCUGCUUCCUUUUCCACCCUGCCUCCUCCACCCCAUAUUUCCUCCUCAUUCACUUCCAACCUUCCCAUUCUCCUUCUGACUUCUACCAUGUCAUGCUCUUCCUCAUGCCACUUCUCCAUACCUCUUCUUUCUCCUGCUUCCACCAACCUCCUCCUCUUCACCCUACCUCGUCUGAUGAGUAAAGGUCAUAACGUUCCUCUAGAGAGCAGCACCUCAUAGUGCUUACUUAUCCUACCAUAUUUAGUACCCUAAUACAUAUGUACUGUAUAUUUGCAGUACAUUCAAGUUAUUGAAAUUAGGUAUUUGCAACAAAGCAGAACAUAGUGAGCGUGUGUAGAAGUUCGAGGUUAUCACAAGAGUAUGUGGAGACUGCACAUGAAGGGCGGUGAAAUGCUUGUCACUGGAGUGCCAGACUUGGAGUAUUCAUAAAAAAUUCAAACCAUCAAAUGUCAGUCCAAUUUAUUUGGAACCUCAUCAAGAGAAGACUAUGUCAGGUAGAAGAAGGUAACAGCAUUUAGAAGAUUCUUGGAACUCACAUUGCCAUGAAGAUGAGCCAUCUGUGACACAGAGAUCUUAAUUUGAAGAUAGGACAUUAUUUUACGGCUUUACCAUCUUGCCUGUGCCAAUUCGUUAUGAGAAACUGUAAAGAACUGUUCUUCUUAAGAUGCCAAAACUGUGUGCUGAUUUCUGCACUUCCUGAUGUGUACAUUGUGAAUGUGUACCAGAAUGAAAAUAAUAUUGUAGAUCCAUAGAAAGAAUUCUCGCAGGCAACAUGCAUUUUGAUGGAGUGUGAUAUGGGAGUUCCAUAAUGAAACCUGUCUAAAGCAUUAUAUCAGUUUCUGCUUUCGUUGGUCUAAAUCACUUUCAUGUAAGUCUUACAGAAGUGUUAGAAGUUACAAACGUUUGGUAAAGUUUUUGUGUAUAUGCAAAAUGGACUCUGUAUGCUUUCACCUUACCUCCCUUUGGCUAGUUUCUAUCGAAUAAAGUACAGCCAAUGAUAUCUCUUUUCCAGGACUCAUCCUGUAAACUGUGGCUCUCAUAUCUGCAUACAGUAUCAGCAUGUGACAGUUUGGAUUAAUUGACAGUGGGCUUUUCCAAACACCUGAUAACUUGGAAAACUGUUGUUGUUUUAGAUGUGAGGCCAUGUAGACUGGUAGAAUGUUACCACAACUUUGGAGGAACAUGUAAAGUGAUAAGACCCUGAAGAUGGAGGCCUCACAUUCCUCAGAGAUGUUGGUAACAUUUUACCAGACUGCAUGGUGUCACAUCCCAGAAGUCUGAAAUCUUCGUUGUUACAGCCAUGUUCCCAUGGAAGAUCUUAGCCGAAGAGUUGUUCACUUAGAGAGUAUACAUUGUAAUUGCACAUACAGGGAAUACACAGUCAUGAGUAGAUAGGAGUUGGUUUUGAUUUGACAUGGGAGUUAGGUGUAGGAACUGAGAACUGAGAGUUGCCUGUUCUGCAUUUGCUGAUACUUCUGAAUUGCAUGGCGACAGUGAGGAGGCUAUGGCUGGUACUUGGAAUGAAGGGUACAGCAUUCUGAGUUGUAGCAACGUGUAGUUCGGAGAGAGCCCCGCGUUUUGGAGGUGACAUAUUCUUCCUAAACAUUGGACCAUCUCCAAACUACACGUUGCUGCAACGCAGGACCCUAAACUCCUUAUAGACAUUGCCAUUAAAAACAUCAAAUCAAACAUGGUACUCAGAAUGUCUGUAUAAGUUACGUAAGUUGCUGUCUGAUUUCAGAGGUAAUUUAAGUAUAAAUUGGAUAGGAACUGCUGCAGCUUUGGGGUUGGUGCCGAGAUGUUAAGGCUUUUUUCUAAUUGGUACAGUUAGAAGUUUCUUGGCAGCUAAUUCCUCAAUAAUCUGACAAGCCAUAGUGAACAGUUUAGGCAUCGUAUUGAUGUAGAAUUCUGUAAUACAAGUGUAUGGAAGUAUGACUGCCAUAACUUGGCUGAAGUAAAGACAGAUGGGUUGCAGCAUAGCGAAAGCAAUAUGAAUCCCUUCAUUGAACUGUUACGUAAUCCAUAGAAUGUUUGACAGUUUAGGACUUACACUUUUGCAAGAUAUUUUACAUUCAUUGUAUCCAAAAAUUAUAUACACUGAAGUAAAUAUAAACAUUCUGACGUAUGUGAGGCUAUUUGGAUCCUUCUGGGUGGGAUAUUUGUAAUUUAUUUUAAUAAAUACUCUUCAGAGCCGA